CUACGUGCCAGCAGCCGCGGUAAUACGUAUGUCACAAGCGUUAUCCGGAUUUAUUGGGCGUAAAGCGCGUCUAGGUGGUUAUGUAAGUCUGAUGUGAAAAUGCAGGGCUCAACUCUGUAUUGCGUUGGAAACUGCAUGACUAGAGUACUGGAGAGGUAAGCGGAACUACAAGUGUAGAGGUGAAAUUCGUAGAUAUUUGUAGGAAUGCCGAUGGGGAAGCCAGCUUACUGGACAGAUACUGACGCUAAAGCGCGAAAGCGUGGGUAGCAAACAGGAUUAGAUACCCUGGUAGUCCACGCUGUAAACGCUGUCGAUUUGGGGAUUGGGCUUUAAGCUUGGUGCCCGUAGCUAACGUGAUAAAUCGACCGCCUGGGGAGUACGGCCGCAAGGUUAAAACUCAAAUGAAUUGACGGGGGCCCGCACAAGCGGUGGAGCAUGUGGUUUAAUUCGAUGCAACGCGAAGAACCUUACCUACUCUUGACAUCCA
rnacentral:rRNA from 1 species